rnacentral:lncRNA from 1 species
CUCCAGGAAACGCUGCCGAGGAGUAGGCGGGGCGGGCGCUUUGGUUCCGAGGGUGCUUCUGCUCCGACUGCUUUUCCCACGGGCGUCAUCUAUAGUCCGGAGGACAGCCCCAGGGCAGAGGCCUCUGGAUCUUGCUCUAUCUCCCAGGCUGGAGUGCAGUGGCUCCAUCAUAGCUGACUGCAGCCUUCACCUUCUGAGCUCAAACAAUCCUCCCACCUCAGCUUCCUGAGUAGCUGGGACCAUAGGCACACACAUGCACCACCACACCUGGCUAAUUUCUAAAAUUUUUUUUGUAAAGUCAGGGUCUCACUAUGUUGCCCAGGCUGGUCUUGAACUCCUGGGCUCAAGUGAUCCUCCCGCCUCAGCCUCCCAAAGUCCUGGGAUUACAGGCGUGAGCUACCACGCACAGCCCAACUUGCUCUUUUGGUUCUGUGGCUGCUGCAGUUAUGGGGAUGUACCCGCUGAUCCACAACAGUUUGGGAGUGCUCUUCCAUAAGCUCCCCUCCCUCAUGCCGGGCAAUGUGCUUGUCAUCGUGGUCUCCAUUAUCACGGUGGUUGCCUUCCUGGGCUGCAUAGGUUCUGUCAAGAAAAACAGGUGCCUGCUUAUGUCCUUGUUCAUUCUGCUGCCGGUUAUCCUCCUUGCUGAGGUGAUCUUGGCCAUCCUGCACUUUGUUUACGAACGGAAGCUGAAUGUAUAGGUAGCUGAGGGCCUGACGGACAGCAUCUACCAUUACCACUGGGACAACAGCACCAAGGCGAUGUGGGACUCCAUCCAGUCAUUUCUGCACUGCUGUGGCGUAAAUGGCAUGAGUGAUUGGUCCAGCGGAUAGCAAGCAUCUUGCCCCUCAGAUCCAAAAGUGAAAGGUUGCUAUGCAAAAGCGAGACUGUAGUUUCACGCCAAUUUCCUGUAUAUCAGAAUCAUCACCAUCUGUGUAUAUGUGCAAUCCAGGUGGUGAGGAUGUCCUUUGCACUGACCCCAAACAGCCAGAUUGAUAAAACCAGUCAGGCCCUGGGGGUGUGACCUGCAACUGCCCUGUGCUGGGGAGACUCGUUUCAUCUUUGGAAAUCCAAAACCAUUUAUAGCACGAAGUUCUAAAUGGUCACCUGCUGGACUGCCUGUCCUCCUCCCAACCCUUUGCUUUUUGGGUCGCUGUCUUAUACAGCCAGAAAAUAAGGUGUUGGCUAGGGACUUUCCAUCUCAGGCAGCAAGACAACCUUUCACCUACUGAUGGCAGCAGCCACGUCUCUCAAGGUGGUAACAGUAAUACUUGGACAUUUUUUUAGACAUGAAAGGCCAAGAGAAACUGUGGAACUAAUGGCUCAAGAUCAAAGAGUGGGCCCAGGAUAUGAAGUUUUUAACCUUCCCAUUGUCAAAUUAGUCUCUGGCCUCUGUGUCAUGCCCAGUCUGCUCUCCAAAGUCAAGCAAGAGACAAGCUGAAGAGGGUCCUAGGUCCAGGCUCAUGGGACCAUUGUCACAACCCUGUUUCUCUUUGACGAAGAGUGGUGGCUAUAGGAAUUACAGAGUGCUCUUUCUCCAAAGGGCAAGGUUUCAUUUCCAUUUCUUUAUUAAGGGCCUCAUCAAUUUAUUCUGUCUUUCCACAAAAAAUUAUCCAGUGAUUUAUAUCCUGACUUCAACCAGUUACUUAGUUGAUAAUCACAUGCACAAGACUUCCGGUGUUAUUUCUCUAUCAGCUAAGGUUUUGUUAAUUUACUAUUUUGCUCUUCGAUAAAUAAAAGUGAUCUUAAUUUUUUAAAAAAUCAAAGAAGUUUCCAUUUCUCAUCUAUCAAAAUAGUAAAUAUUUUAAAAAUGUAAUUCUUAAUGUUUAUGAAUAAAUGAAUAAAGUAUUAAUUUAUUAAUUUAUUGAAUGUCCACUAUGUGGCAGGCAUGCACCAUUAUUCAGAUUUAAAAAUAAAAACUCAUAACAACACAGAAAAUUAUAAUAAGUGAAAAACAAGCAGGACACAAAAAUGUAUGCACAAUGAUUAUAUUUUUAAACCCAGAACAUCGGCAUAGGGGCAAAAAACAAAUAACAACCAAAAUGUUGGUUGAGUGCUGUGGCUUACACCUGUAAUCCUGCACGAGGCAGGAGGAUUGCUUGAGGCCAGGAGUUCAAGACCAGACUGAGCAACUUAGCAAGACUCCAUUUCUACAAAAAAUAAAAAAGUUGGCUAUGGCAGUGCCUGCAAGUACUAGCUACUCAGGAGGCUGAGGAAGGAGGAUCACUUGGGCCUAGGAGUUCGAGGUUACAGUAAGGUAUGAUGGCA